AGCAGCCGCGGUAAUUCCAGCUCCAAUAGCGUAUAUUAAAGUUGUUGCAGUUAAAAAGCUCGUAGUUGAACUUCAGGCCUGGCUGGGCGGUCCGCCUUCCGGGUGAGUACUGCCUGUGGUCGGGUCCUACCUUCUGGCGAAGCGUCAUGGCCUUAACCGGCCGUGGCGGGGAACCAGGACUUUUACUGUGAAAAAUUAGAGUGUUCAAAGCAGGCACGCGCUUGAAUACAUUAGCAUGGAAUAAUGGAAUAGGACAGUGGUUCUAUUUGUUGGUUUCUAGGACCGUUGUAAUGAUUAAUAGGGAUAGUUGGGGGCAUUAGUAUUCAAUUGUCAGAGGUGAAAUUCUUGGAUUUAUUGAAGACUAACUACUGCGAAAGCAUUUGCCAAGGAUGUUUUCAUUAAUCAAGAACGAAAGUUAGGGGAUCGAAGACGAUCAGAUACCGUCGUAGUCUUAACCAUAAACUAUGCCGACUAGGAAUCGGGCGAUGUUGACAAAAUGACGCGCUCGGCACCUCAUAC
rnacentral:rRNA from 1 species